CAAGUCGAACAAAGACACCCCGGGUAGCAAUACUUGGGGUGGACUGAGUGGCGAAAGGGGCAGUAAUGCGUGGGUAACCUACCCUGGGGAUGGGCAUAGCCGGCCUAACGGCCGGGUAAUUCCCAGCGAUGUUGCGAGGGGACAUCCUCUUGCAACCAAAUGAAUUUCGCCCUGGGAGGGGCUCACGUCGCAUUAGCUAGUUGGUGGGGUAACGGCCUACCAAGGCAAAGAUGCGUAGCGGGUGUGAGAGCACGACCCGCGCCACUGGCACUGAGACACUGGCCAGACACCUACGGGUGGCUGCAGUCGAGGAUCUUUGGCAAUGGGCGCAAGCCUGACCAAGCGACGCCGCGUGUGCGAUGAAGGCCUUCGGGUUGUAAAGCACUGUCGAGGGGGAUCAAAGCGCAAGCUUGAGAGAUCCCUGGAGGAAGCACGGGCUAAGUUCGUGCCAGCAGCCGCGGUAAGACGAACCGUGCGAACGUUGUUCGGAAUCACUGGGCUUAAAGGGCGCGUAGGCGGUCGGGCAAGUCCGGGGUGAAAUCCUGCAGCUCAACUGUAGAAGUGCCUUGGAUACUGCCCGGCUCGAGGGAGGUAGGGGUCUGUGGAACUUCUGGUGGAGCGGUGAAAUGCGUUGAUAUCAGAAGGAACGCCGGUGGCGAAAGCGACAGACUGGACCUCUUCUAACGCUGAGGCGCGAAAGCUAGGGGAGCAAACGGGAUUAGAUACCCCGGUAGUCCUAGCCCUAAACGAUGAACACUAGAUUGUAAGACUAGUCAU
rnacentral:rRNA from 1 species